GACGAACGCUGGCGGCGUGCUUAACACAUGCAAGUCGAACGAUGAAGAAGAGAAAUGCGUCCUUCGGUUUAAACUUCACUCCGGAUUAGUGGCAGACGGUUGAGUAACGCGUGAGCAACCUACCUCUCACAAAGGGAUAGCCUCGGGAAACCGUGAUUAUUACCAUAUGACACAUUCAUAAGGCAUCUUAAGAAUGUUAACGCUACGGCGGUACGGGAUGGGAUCGCGUACCAUUUGCUAGUUGGUGAGGUAACGGCACACCAAAGCGACGAUGGGUAACCGGGAAGAGAGAGUGGACAGUCACAUUGAAACUAGGACGCGGUCGGGACUCCUACGGAAGGCAGCAGUGGGGGAUGGAGCACAGUGGAGGGAGCGAUGAUGCAGCGACGCCGCGUGAACGAUGAAAGAAGUGAUGACGAAAAGCUCUGUUCUAUGGGAAGAAAAGGACGGUACCAAAGGAGAAAGCCCCGGCUAAAUACGUG
rnacentral:rRNA from 1 species